rnacentral:rRNA from 1 species
CCUACGGGGGGCAGCAGUGAGGAAUUUUGGUCAAUGGGCGUAAGCCUGAACCAGCCAAGCCGCGUGAGGGAUGAAGGUUCUAUGGACCGUAAACCUCUUUUAUAAGGGAAUAAGGUGUGGGACGUGUCCUGUUUUGUAUGUACCUUAUGAAUAAGGAUCGGCUAACUCCGUGCCAGCAGCCGCGGGAAUACGGAGGAUCCGAGCGUUAUCCGGAUUUAUUGGGUUUAAAGGGUGCGUAGGCGGCCUUUUAUGUCAGCGGUGAAAGUCUGUGGCUUAACCAUAAGAUUGCCGUUGAAACUGGGAGGCUUGAGUAUGUGUGAGGCAGGCGGAAUGUGUGGUGUAGCGGUGAAAUGCAUAGAUAUCACACAGAACACCGAUUGCGAAGGCAUCUCACGAAUCCGCGAUUGACGCUGAUGCACGAAAGCGUGGGUAUCAAACAGGAUUAGAUACCCUAGUAGUC